CGGGGCGCACCAGCAGUGAGGAAUAUUGCACAAUGGGGGGAACCCUGAUGCAGCAACGCCGCGUGGAGGAUGACGCAUUUCGGUGUGUAAACUCCUUUUAUAUGUCAAGAAAAUGACGGUAGCAUAUGAAUAAGCACCGGCUAACUCCGUGCCAGCAGCCGCGGUAAUACGGAGGGUGCAAGCGUUACUCGGAAUCACUGGGCGUAAAGGACGCGUAGGCGGGUUGGAAAGUCAGGUGUGAAAUCCUACAGCUUAACUGUAGAACUGCACUUGAAACUUCUAAUCUAGAGUAUGGGAGGGGAAGAUGGAAUUAGUGGUGUAGGGGUAAACUCCGUAGAUAUCACUAGGAAUACCUAAAGCGAAGGCGAUCUCCUGGAACAUUACUGACGCUAAGGCGUGAAAGCGUGGGGAGCAAACAGGAUUAGAUACCCGCGUAGUC
rnacentral:rRNA from 1 species